CUCGCUUCUCGGCCUUUUGGCUAAGAUCAAGUGUAGUAUUUUUCACAGUUCUGAAGGAUGAGAAGUCUCAGAUUAAGGCAUGGGCACAGUGGGUAUCUGGUAAGGUCCACUUCUUGGUCCAUGGAUGUCUUUUGGCUGUGUCCUCAUGGUGGAGCUCUCUGGGGUCUUUAGGACACUAAUCCCCUCAUGAGGGCCCCAGCUUCA
rnacentral:snRNA from 1 species